rnacentral:rRNA from 1 species
AGUGAACGCUGGCGGCGGGCCUAACACAUGCAAGUCGAGCGCACCCACGGUAAGCGCUCUCCUCUGCGGUUGGCGGCGGACGGGCGGGUAAGACAUACAUCGCCUUCCUCUUUUUCUGGGGGAACAUCGUGGGAACACUUCCCCUACUCCCGCAUAUGUCCAACGGGAGAAAUCAGGGGUUCUUCGCACUUUUCCCGUUGCAUUGAGCCGAAGCCGGAUUAGCUAGUUGGCGGGGUAAGGGCCCACCAAGGCCACGAUCCGUAGCUGGUCUGAGAGGGUGAUCAGCCACACUGGAACUGAGACACGGUCCAGACUCCUACGGGAGGCAGCAGUGGGGAAUAUUGGACAAUGGGCGCAAGCCUGAUCCAGCCAUACCGCGUGGGUGAAGAAGGCCUUCGGGUUGUAAAGCCCUGUUGUUGGGAAAGAAAAACAGCAGGUUAAUACCCCGCUGUUCUGACGGUACCCAAAGAAUAAGCACCGGCUAACUUCGUG